CUGGUUGUUUCACAAACACCUUAACCAAAGCAUUUGUCGAAGAAUCUGCUGUUAUUGAUGAUAAUCCGUAACAUGUUUCUUGAUAAAAGUAGAAUGCCUUACAGUACAGGUUAAUCUUGCAGAGUAAGGCACAUUUUGCCAAGUUAUUACUUGCUUGUGUAUAUAGAACGUCUGUGAUUGAGGAAGCCUUCCACAGGAUAGAAUCAGGCAAUUGUUGAAAAAAUUCCCAAUC
rnacentral:lncRNA from 1 species